rnacentral:rRNA from 1 species
AUACGGAGGGGGCUAGCGUUGUUCGGAAUUACUGGGCGUAAAGCGCGCGUAGGCGGUUUGCCAAGUCAGGCGUGAAAGCCCCGGGCUCAACCCGGGAACUGCGUUUGAAACUGGCAGGCUUGAGGCCGGGAGAGGGUAGUGGAAUUCCCAGUGUAGAGGUGAAAUUCGUAGAUAUUGGGAAGAACACCAGUGGCGAAGGCGGCUACCUGGACCGGUUCUGACGCUGAGGUGCGAAAGCGUGGGGAGCAAACAGGAUUAGAAACCCCGGUAGUCC